rnacentral:rRNA from 1 species
UGACAGUACUCCUACGGGGGAGGCAGCAGUGGGGGAAUAUUGCACAAUGGGCGCAAGCCUGAAUGCAGCCAUGCCGCGUGUGUGAAGAAGGCCUUCGGGUUGUAAAGCACUUUCAGUCGUGAGGAAGGUAGUGUAGUUAAUAGCUGCAUUAUUUGACGUUAGCGACAGAAGAAGCACCGGCUAAACUCCGUGCCAGCAGCCGCGGUAAUACGGAGGGUGCGAGCGUUAAUCGGAAUUACUGGGCGUAAAGCGCAUGCAGGUGGUUUGUUAAGUCAGAUGUGAAAGACCCGGGGCUCAACCUCGGAAUAGCAUUUGAAACUAGGCAGACUAGAGUACUGUAGAGGGGGGUAGGAAUUUCAGGUGUAGCGGUGAAAUGCGUAGAGAUCUGAAGGAAUACCGGUGGCGAAGGCGGCCCCCUGGACAGAUACUGACACUCAGAUGCGAAAGCGUGGGGAGCAAACAGGAUUAGAUACCCUGGUAG